GGGUUGUGAGGUUAAGCGACUAAGCGUACACGGUGGAUGCCCUGGCAGUCAGAGGCGAUGAAGGACGUGCUAAUCUGCGAAAAGCGUCGGUAAGGUGAUAUGAACCGUUACAGCCGGCGAUGUCCGAAUGGGGAAACCCAGUGCAAUUCGUUGCACUAUCGUUAACUGAAUACAUAGGUUAACGAGGCGAACCGGGGGAACUGAAACAUCUAAGUACCCCGAGGAAAAGAAAUCAACCGAGAUUCCCCCAGUAGCGGCGAGCGAACGGGGAGCAGCCCAGAGUCUGAAUCAGCUUGUGUGUUAGUGGAACGGUCUGGAAAGUCCGACGGUACAGGGUGAUAGUCCCGUACACCAAAAUGCACAGGUUGUGAACUCGAAGAGUAGGGCGGGACACGUGGUAUCCUGUCUGAAUAUGGGGGGACCAUCCUCCAAGGCUAAAUACUCCUGACUGACCGAUAGUGAACCAGUACCGUGAGGGAAAGGCGAAAAGAACCCCGGCGAGGGGAGUGAAAAAGAACCUGAAACCGUGUACGUACAAGCAGUGGGAGCACCUUCGGGUGUGACUGCGUACCUUUUGUAUAAUGGGUCAGCGACUUAUAUUCUGUAGCAAGGUUAACCGUAUAGGGGAGCCGCAGGGAAACCGAGUCUUAACUGGGCGUUAAGUUGCAGGGUAUAGACCCGAAACCCGGUGAUCUAGCCAUGGGCAGGUUGAAGGUUGGGUAACACUAACUGGAGGACCGAACCGACUAAUGUUGAAAAAUUAGCGGAUGACUUGUGGCUGGGGGUGAAAGGCCAAUCAAACCGGGAGAUAGCUGGUUCUCCCCGAAAGCUAUUUAGGUAGCGCCUCGUGAACUCAUCUUCGGGGGUAGAGCACUGUUUCGGCUAGGGGGUCAUCCCGACUUACCAACCCGAUGCAAACUACGAAUACCGAAGAAUGUUAUCACGGGAGACACACGGCGGGUGCUAACGUCCGUCGUGAAGAGGGAAACAACCCAGACCGCCAGCUAAGGUCCCAAAGUCAUGGUUAAGUGGGAAACGAUGUGGGAAGGCACAGACAGCCAGGAUGUUGGCUUAGAAGCAGCCAUCAUUUAAAGAAAGCGUAAUAGCUCACUGGUCGAGUCGGCCUGCGCGGAAGAUGUAACGGGGCUAAACCAUGCACCGAAGCUGCGGCAGCGACACUAUGUGUUGUUGGGUAGGGGAGCGUUCUGUAAGCCUGCGAAGGUGACCUGUGAGGGUUGCUGGAGGUAUCAGAAGUGCGAAUGCUGACAUAAGUAACGAUAAAGCGGGUGAAAAGCCCGCUCGCCGGAAGACCAAGGGUUCCUGUCCAACGUUAAUCGGGGCAGGGUGAGUCGACCCCUAAGGCGAGGCCGAAAGGCGUAGUCGAUGGGAAACAGGUUAAUAUUCCUGUACUUGGUGUUACUGCGAAGGGGGGACGGAGAAGGCUAUGUUAGCCGGGCGACGGUUGUCCCGGUUUAAGCAUGUAGGCUGGUUAUCCAGGCAAAUCCGGAUAAUCAAGGCUGAGGUGUGAUGACGAGGCACUACGGUGCUGAAGUAACAAAUGCCCUGCUUCCAGGAAAAGCCUCUAAGCAUCAGGUAACAUCAAAUCGUACCCCAAACCGACACAGGUGGUCAGGUAGAGAAUACCAAGGCGCUUGAGAGAACUCGGGUGAAGGAACUAGGCAAAAUGGUGCCGUAACUUCGGGAGAAGGCACGCUGGUGUGUAGGUGAAGUCCCUGCGGAUGGAGCUGAGACCAGUCGAAGAUACCAGCUGGCUGCAACUGUUUAUUAAAAACACAGCACUGUGCAAACACGAAAGUGGACGUAUACGGUGUGACGCCUGCCCGGUGCCGGAAGGUUAAUUGAUGGGGUUAUCCGUAAGGAGAAGCUCUUGAUCGAAGCCCCGGUAAACGGCGGCCGUAACUAUAACGGUCCUAAGGUAGCGAAAUUCCUUGUCGGGUAAGUUCCGACCUGCACGAAUGGCGUAAUGAUGGCCAGGCUGUCUCCACCCGAGACUCAGUGAAAUUGAACUCGCUGUGAAGAUGCAGUGUACCCGCGGCAAGACGGAAAGACCCCGUGAACCUUUACUAUAGCUUGACACUGAACAUUGAGCCUUGAUGUGUAGGAUAGGUGGGAGGCUUUGAAGCGUGGACGCCAGUCUGCGUGGAGCCAACCUUGAAAUACCACCCUUUAAUGUUUGAUGUUCUAACGUUGGCCCCUGACCGGGGUUGCGGACAGUGUCUGGUGGGUAGUUUGACUGGGGCGGUCUCCUCCCAAAGCGUAACGGAGGAGCACGAAGGUUAGCUAAUCCUGGUCGGACAUCAGGAGGUUAGUGCAAUGGCAUAAGCUAGCUUGACUGCGAGCGUGACGGCGCGAGCAGGUGCGAAAGCAGGUCAUAGUGAUCCGGUGGUUCUGAAUGGAAGGGCCAUCGCUCAACGGAUAAAAGGUACUCCGGGGAUAACAGGCUGAUACCGCCCAAGAGUUCAUAUCGACGGCGGUGUUUGGCACCUCGAUGUCGGCUCAUCACAUCCUGGGGCUGAAGUAGGUCCCAAGGGUAUGGCUGUUCGCCAUUUAAAGUGGUACGCGAGCUGGGUUUAGAACGUCGUGAGACAGUUCGGUCCCUAUCUGCCGUGGGCGCUGGAGAAUUGAGGGGGGCUGCUCCUAGUACGAGAGGACCGGAGUGGACGCAUCACUGGUGUUCGGGUUGUCAUGCCAAUGGCACUGCCCGGUAGCUAAAUGCGGAAGAGAUAAGUGCUGAAAGCAUCUAAGCACGAAACUUGCCCCGAGAUGAGUUCUCCCUGAGACUUUAAGUCUCCUGAAGGAACGUUGAAGACGACGACGUUGAUAGGCCGGGUGUGUAAGCGCAGCGAUGCGUUGAGCUAACCGGUACUAAUGAACCGUGAGGCUUAACCUUACAACGCCGAAG
rnacentral:rRNA from 1 species